rnacentral:rRNA from 1 species
GCGGUUAUGGAUGGGCAUGCGUGCCAUUAGCUAGUUGGCGGGGUAACGGCCCACCAAGGCAACGAUGGCUAGGGGGUCUAAAAGGAUGAUCCCCCACACUGGUACUGAGACACGGACCAGACUCCUACGGGAGGCAGCAGUGAGGAAUAUUGGUCAAUGGGCGCAAGCCUGAACCAGCCAUCCCGCGUGCAGGAUGAAGGCCCUAUGGGUUGUAAACUGCUUUUUUACGGGAAGAAAAAGCCCUACGUGUAGGGCACUGACGGUACCGUAUGAAUAAGCACCGGCUAACUCCGUGCCAGCAGCCGCGGUAAUACGGAGGGUGCAAGCGUUGUUCGGAAUUACUGGGCGUAAAGCGCGCGUAGGCGGAUUGAUAAGUCAGUGGUGAAAGCCUGCAGCUUAACUGCAGAACUGCCAUUGAUACUGCCAGUCUGGAGUAUGGUUGAGGUAGCUGGAAUGUGUCAUGUAGCGGUGAAAUGCUUAGAGAUGACACAGAACACCGACGGCGAAGGCAGGUUACCAACCCAUUACUGACGCUGAGGCACGAAAGCGUGGGGAUCAAACAGGAUUAGAUACCCUGGUAGUCCACGCCGUAAACUAUGAUUACUAGUUGUUGGCGAUACAUUGCCAGUGACUGAGCGAAAGCAUUAAGUAAUCCACCUGGGGAGUACGUUCGCAAGAAUGAAACUCAAAGGAAUUGACGGGGGCCCGCACAAGCGGUGGAGUAUGUGGUUUAAUUCGACGCAACGCGAAGAACCUUACCAAGGCUUGACAUCCUGUGACAGCUAUAGAAAUAUAGACUUCUUUCGGGGCAGAUAGACAGGUGGUGCAUGGUUGUCGUCAGCUCGUGUCGUGAGAUGUUGGGUUAAGUCCCGCAACGAGCGCAACCCCUACAGCUAGUUGCCAGCACAUAAAGGUGGGAACUCUAGCAGAACUGCCGUUGACAAAACGGAGGAAGGUGGGGAUGACGUCAAAUCAUCAUGCCCCUUAUGUCUUGGGCUACACACGUACUACAAUGGCCUGAACAGAGGGAAGCGAAACUGCGAAGUUAAGCGAACCCUUAAAACAGGUCCCAGUUCGGAUUGUAGGCUGCAACUCGCCUACAUGAAGUUGGAAUCGCUAGUAAUCGCAGGUCAGCAUACUGCGGUGAAUACGUUCCCGGGCCUUGUACACACCGCCCGUCACACCACGAAAGUCGGCAACACCCGAAUUGCGU